rnacentral:rRNA from 1 species
AUUGAACGCUGGCGGCAUGCCUUACACAUGCAAGUCGAACGGCAGCACGGGAGCAAUCCUGGUGGCGAGUGGCGAACGGGUGAGUAAUAUAUCGGAACGUGCCCAGUCGUGGGGGAUAACGUAGCGAAAGCUACGCUAAUACCGCAUACGAUCUAUGGAUGAAAGCGGGGGAUCGCAAGACCUCGCGCGAUUGGAGCGGCCGAUAUCAGAUUAGGUAGUUGGUGGGGUAAAAGCCUACCAAGCCUUCGAUCUGUAGCUGGUCUGAGAGGACGACCAGCCACACUGGAACUGAGACACGGUCCAGACUCCUACGGGAGGCAGCAGUGGGGAAUUUUGGACAAUGGGCGCAAGCCUGAUCCAGCAAUGCCGCGUGCAGGAUGAAGGCCUCGGUUGGUAAG